UUAUCCUACUUUGCUAAACAUUUCAUUAAACAAAACCUCAAGAAGUACUGAAAAACCAAACAAUACCUAAACCCAAAAUAAAUAAAUGAAUAAAUAAGCACACACAGAUACAUCUCUACAAGAAGAAAAAUGAGGAUUCAUGAUCGUAUUUCAGAAGACAAACAACUGGAUGUUGUUUUGUAGCAAAAAAAUGUCGUGCAGGGAGUCAGAAGUAGUUUUCCAUUCUGUUUCUGGUGUCAACUACCUCUCUGACACCAGCAAAUAGUUUAGUGUACCUCUACUUCCAUUUCCUCAUCUGAAAAAUGAGGAUUGGUCCCCAGUGCCUUAUUUAGUUCAUUUGGUGAAGUCAUGAUUUCCUGGAUGUUCUCAAUGCUUGUUCAUGUUCAUUGGUCUCAGGGCAUUGACGAGGCAGGCACUAAUUUAUCAGUCCUUAUGUGGCACCAAAUCUGAACACAGCCAGAUAUAGAUGGUCUGUGAUAGAAGAAACCAGAUGGUCUCACUGACCUCACCCCAGGUACUGUGCUUUUGAUAUUAUUCUAGAAUGUGGUCUUUAUAAUUUGGUUUCUGUAGCAUCCCAGGGACAAGUUCACAUGUGCUGGUGUGAGUUUCAUUUUGCAUGUGCUGCUUUAUCAUGAACAUGGAAGACAUACUAGGUUUCUGUAGUAGAAACACUCCAGCCUCUUCCAAAGCAGAAGGCCCUGGGCUGUGGACCUUCAAAGAGAAGCAAACAUACAGAG